GGUGCUCAAUCAGUGAAAAUGCAGUUCAACUUCAACAGAAUACGCACUUACUGAGCACCCACUAUGCACCAACUGGUGGCUGUACAAAGAUGGGUGGCAGCUGACUGUCAGGAUGCCUACAAAUAAAGAUGGCCCACAGAGAUGUCACAAACCCUGGGUGGUACUUCCGUCGGCUCAUUUGUCCCUUAAGGCUUUGGUUCCUGGUUCUGGGCAGACAGGGAUGAAAAAAUGCUCGUCUGGUCCUCCGAGAGGCAGGACUGGAACAUACAAUGCACAACACGAGCAGAAGACACCUGUCAUAUAGGCGUGAACAAGGAGGACGCAGGCUCAGAGGACAGAGCCGCUGUAUUGUGGGUCCUUUGGUAAGGGCUGGAGGAGGGAGAGUGGGGCUGGGUGAGAUGAGUUGGGUUCUUGCACUUGCUGGCCCUUUGGCUUGGGGACCACGGUCCUUCUCACUCUCCUGCCUCAGAUGACACGGCCUCUCUUCAGAGAGUCCUCCUCACAGGGCCCACCUCCUCAUCACUCACUCAACACCCUGUUCAUUUCUUCUCAAACACGAACCAUGAUCUAUAGCGGAUGAGAGGAAAGGGGAAGGGAAAGGAAGGGAGCUGUUUUUAAACACCUACCCUGCCAGCACUGUGCUUGUCAAUAGUGAACGUUGUUUAAUUACUUUUCUCAGUGCUCUGUGCAGUCCACACACUCACAUGCUGCUGUUGUGUCCCUCAUUUUGCAGACGCAGCAGAGACCCCAGGCCCCCAGAGGACACAUGCCUUUGCCCAAGGUCACAGCCAGAAGUGGUGGAACUGGACUUGGAACCCAGGGCCAGCUGCCUCUCCACACCCAUGGUGCUUUCAUGGCACCUGGAGAGGCAAAGUAGGCAGGAAAGGAAAUGGAAUGAGUGGUUUACGGCCCUAGGCGUUUUUGGCGGCAACAACAGCGCCACCUGCAGGACCCGAGGGAACACUGCAAAAAUGAUUCGGAGCAGGUCCCCUGGUCCCUGCUGGAAGGGAGGGGUCCUGAAGAAGGGACAGACCUGAGGGUCGUCUAAUGACCUUUCGUCUUUAAAAGGAGCCAGUUGAGACCGAUGAAGUCACAGUAGUGGAGGCAGAUCAGAAACUCUCUCUUCUGACUCUCCGUUCAAUACUCUCUCAUUCAAUAAACAUCAACUGAGCACUUACUA